GCCUCCCAAACUGCUGGGAUUACAGGUGUGAGCCACUGCACCUGGCCAGGUCCCAGAUUUUUAAACAACCAGAUAUUGUGUGAACUAACUGAGCAGGAAUUCAUCACUAGGGGGAUGGUGCUAAACCAUUCAUGAGGGAUCCUCCUGUAUGCUCCAAACACCUCCCACCAGGCCCCGCCUGCAACAUUGGGAAUCGCAUUUCAAUGUGGGAUUUAGAGGGGACAAACAUCCAAACCAUAUCAGGAUUACUGCAGAUGAAAUUACGAUCAGGUUAUACUGGAGCAGAGUGAACGCCAAUGAUUCAUGUCAUUAUGAAAUGAGGAAAUUUGGACACAGACACACACAGAAAUCGUCACUUAAAGACUGGAGUUCUGCUGAAAGCCAAUAUAUGCUACAGAUUGUCAGGAAACCACCUGAAGCUAAGAGUCAGGCCUGGAACAGAUCCUUCCUCAGCACAUACAGAGGGAGCAUGGCCCUGCUACCACCUGGAUCUCAGACUCAGCCUCCAGAACUGGGAGACAGUUUAAGUUCUACAUUUCUGGAGGGAUUGCAGAGAUUAAUGCCACCAUCAAGGACUUGAAGGAUAUAGGGCUGGUGCUUCCUACCACAUCCCCAUUCAACUUGCCUGUUUGGCCUGUGCAGAAAACGGAGAAUAAUAGUAGAUUGUCAUAAACUUACCCAGAUGGUGACUCGAAUUGCAACUGCUGUUCCAGAUGUAGUUUCAUCGCUUGGGUACAUUAACAUAUCUGGUACUUGAAACACAAGUGCUCUGGCAAAUGCUUUUCCUCCAUACCUGUUAGUACACACCACCAGAAGCAACUUGCUUUCAGCUGGCAUGGCCAGCAGUACACCUUCACUUUUUAGUCCUAGGUCAUAAUUUAGUCUGCAAGGACCUUGGUUACCUUUCCCUUCCACAAGACUUCACACUGGUCCAUGACAUUGAUUAUAUUAAGCUGAUUGGACCUGAUGAGCAAGAAAUAGCAACUACCAAGAAGUAACAACUACUGUAGAUAUAUUGGGGAGGAGAAAGUGAAUCAUUCCGAAGCAGAUCUUCUUUGUCUUUGUGGUUCGUAAGUAAUCAUAGGGUAGGCAGGCAUCUAUUGCUCUUGGGGAAAUGUACAACAAAGCCUUUUAAAAAGGGCUUGAUGAAGGCUGCUUUUUUAAAUAUGUAGAGAUGAAAGUUUGCUUAAGUGGAAAUAAAUUUUCAUGGAAACCCAGGUGGCUACUGGAAGAGUAUGCAACAUCUCUCACACAUCUCUUUUGGACUUCCUCAUAAAUAGUACCUUUUGGAUAGUUAGAGGCAGCUCUUAGGGGAGAGAAGGAUGAGUGAAGACCGGGGAUUCUGGCUUAUUACCUGAUUCCACAUAGUCUUGGGGAAAAGUGGUUUCCGGGUUAGCUUGUGGCUAUGUCUGGAACUGGAAUUGUCCUGGAUCCACAAAGGCACAAUGAUGUUGGGAAGAAUGACUGCAUAUGUGGGUUUAACCUGGAGAGCUAUUACCUGGGAGGUGAGGGAGGAGGACACCACUGUGGCCUGCAUAGGAAUAUGGACAGAAAAGAAUAUACCAGACUUGGAAAGACCUGUAUUCAUAAUGUGGCAACAACAAUGGUAGCUGAAAGUUAGGUCUGCUGGUGAUGGACUGGAUCCUCUGGAUUACUCUCCAGAAGGCAUUUCAGAAAUAUGUUCAGCCACUCUGGACAACAUCCUGGGAUUCUUGAAUAAGUGGGCAGAAGAAAAGAAGUCCGUUGAAAGAAAUUAUACCUCCAACCUAUCCAAAAUAUUGGGAUGCUGCUUGGUUUAGUUAAGUAAAAUAAGAGAUGCAACCAUAUUUGUAUCUUGAUUAAAUAAAUUAUACUGGUUGUGCCAGCAUGAUUAUAUGAAGUUCAGUGGAUAUAUUACUUCCUUUUAGAUAAACGUUUCAUGAUUGCAGCCUUUUGGGAAGCGACAUCUCUCUACUACUUCAUAUUGAGCUUAUGAGGGUGACAAAAAAAAAAUGCCACUCUAUUUCACUAACCACUAUUUCACAGAACUACUAAGAGGAAGUCUCCCACCAUUCCUCAUUUGUACAACUGGUUAAAAAACAAAGCAAAACAAAAAACACCAAGUUCAGGAAUUAUCAGUUACAUGCAUUAAUCUUCAUCCCCUUACUUGUCCCUAUCUUUUAUGGAAGACAAUAAAAUAUUUGUGUUGUUGA